UUUGCAGAAUCAUUGUGUAGAGGCCUGAUAUUUCAACACGAAACACCACACAUUCAAGUCAGUCUCACCACCUUAGUCUUGUAUAACUCUGAGUUUGAGAUCCAAGUUUAAAGAUAUAUGGCGCACUUAAAGUUUAUCUGCGCGCUGGUACUUUAUUUUUUCAUCUUUUCGUCUUUGUUCGCGCGCGAAGAAGCUUUCUCUUCUAAUAACAGAAUCGGUAAAAGAACUUUCAAGCUACAACGAAAACUUGAGAUGGGACCGAUGAUCGAAAGUCGCGUAAUGGACUCAGGAACUGCGCGUGCGCAGAUACAGAAGGCAAAAGCUAAGGACAGUGGAACUUGGAAGUUUGGAUCGACCAGGCCUCAAGAGAAUUGAGGAUCAAUUCAUUGAUGAUUGCUAGUUUUUACCUAACGAAUAGAAUUGCCGAAGCAAAUAAGUUGAAAAUUCAAUUGCUGUUAGUAAAGAGCCAUAAGUUAUGGAGGGGAUUUUGAUAUCAUCGACAUAUAUUAGAAUAAAGUAAUGAUAAACUUCCUGUAAAUUGUAAAAAAAAAAAAAAACCAUUGUGGUUAUCCAUGAAUACAUAACAUGAUUUCGGACGUCUAUGGUGUCUAGGCCACUAAUACCAGUUUUCAAAAAAGGCAAUAAUGUAAUCUAGCUUUCUUUCUGACUCUUAUGCCCCUUUUAAUUAGAAAGUUUAUUAAAAAGCAGACGCUGAAAGGA